GACGAACGCUGGCGGCGUGCUUAACACAUGCAAGUCGAACGGAAAGGCCCUGCUUUUGUGGGGUGCUCGAGUGGCGAACGGGUGAGUAACACGUGAGUAACCUGCCCUUGACUUUGGGAUAACUUCAGGAAACUGGGGCUAAUACCGGAUAGGAGCUCCUGCUGCAUGGUGGGGGUUGGAAAGUUUCGGCGGUUGGGGAUGGACUCGCGGCUUAUCCGCUUGUUGGUGGGGUAGUGGCUUACCAAGGCUUUGACGGGUAGCCGGCCUGAGAGGGUGACCGGCCACAUUGGGACUGAGAUGCGGCACAGACACCUACGGGAGGCAGCAGUGGGGAAUAUGGAACAAUGGGCGGAAGCCUGAUGCAGCAACGCCGCGUGCGGGAUGACGGCCUUCGGGUUGUAGACCGCUUUCGCCUGUGACGAAGCGUGAGUGACGGUAAUGGGUAAAGAAGCACCGGCUAACUACGUG
rnacentral:rRNA from 1 species